rnacentral:rRNA from 1 species
GACGAACGCUGGCGGCGUGCCUAAUACAUGCAAGUCGAGCGAGUCUGCCUUGAAGAUCGGAGUGCUUGCACUCUGUGAAACAAGAUACAGGCUAGCGGCGGACGGGUGAGUAACACGUGGGUAACCUGCCCAAGAGAUCGGGAUAACACCUGGAAACAGAUGCUAAUACCGGAUAACAACAGAUGAUGCCUAUCAACUGUUUAAAAGAUGGUUCUGCUAUCACUCUUGGAUGGACCUGCGGUGCAUUAGCUAGUUGGUAGGGUAACGGCCUACCAAGGCGAUGAUGCAUAGCCGAGUUGAGAGACUGAUCGGCCACAUUGGGACUGAGACACGGCCCAAACUCCUACGGGAGGCAGCAGUAGGGAAUCUUCCACAAUGGACGCAAGUCUGAUGGAGCAACGCCGCGUGAGUGAAGAAGGGUUUCGGCUCGUAAAGCUCUGUUGUUGGUGAAGAAGGACAGGGGUAGUAACUGACCUUUGUUUGACGGUAAUCAAUUAGAAAGUCACGGCUAACUACGU